rnacentral:rRNA from 1 species
AGCCAACCUCUAGCCCAACUACUCUCGAACCUGAAAAAAUCAAAAACAUAACCUAAACAUUAGAACUAAAACAUUCUCAAAACUUAGUAUAGGCGAUAGAAAAGAUUUUACCCACCCUUGGAGCAAUAGAGAUCUUGUACCGUAAGGGAAUGAUGAAAUAAAAAUGAAAAACCAAGCACCAAACAGCAAAGAUGAACUCUUGUACCUUUUGCAUCAUGAUUUAGCAAGAACAACCAAGCAAAAUGAAUUUAAGCUUGCCAUCCCGAAACCUAAGCGAGCUACUUACAAGCAGCUAUUCAUGAGCGAACCCGUCUCUGUUGCAAAAGAGUGGGAUGACUUGUUAGUAGAAGUGAAAAGCCAACCGAGCUGGGUGAUAGCUGGUUGCCUGCGAAUGAAUUUAAGUUCUCCCUUAAUUUCUCUCUACAGACCUACAACUUCCUACGUAGUAAAUUAAGAGUUAUUUAAAGGGGGUACAGCCCCUUUAAAAAAGGAUACAACCUUAUCCAGUGGAUAAAACCAAUAAUACAGACACUGUGGGCCUUUAAGCAGCCAUCAAUAAAGAAUGCGUCAAAGCUCUUUACCAAAAGAUUACAAAACACCAUGACUCCCUCAUCACUAGCAGACCAACCUAUGACUAUAGAAGAAUUAAUGCUAAAAUAAGUAACUUGGGCCCCUCCCUCUCAAGCGCAAGCUUACAUUCCCAAAUUAUUAACAGACUUCACCUAGUACUCCGACUCCAACAAGACUACAUACUACACACCCUGUUAACCCAACACAAGGAGCGCUCAUUAGAAAGGCUCAAAUCUGUAAAAGGAACUAGGCAAGCCCAAGGCCCGACUGUUUACCAAAAACAUAGCCUUUAGCCAACCAAGUAUUAAAGGUGACGCCUGCCCGGUGACAUACAGUUCAACGGCCGCGGUAUCCUAACCGUGCGAAGGUAGCGCAAUCAAUUGUCUCAUAAAUCGGGACUUGUAUGAAUGGCUAAACGAGGCCUUAACUGUCUCUUACAGAUAACCAGUGAAAUUGAUCUUCCUGUGCAAAAGCAGGAAUAGCACCAUAAGACGAGAAGACCCUGUGGAACUUAAAAAUCAACGACCACUACCAACUUAAACCAAAGCCCACUGGGCCCAUUAACACUGAACGUUGGUCCGCAUUUUUUGGUUGGGGCGACCUUGGAGAAAAACAAAUCCUCCAAAAACAAGACCCUCCCUCUUGACCAAGAGCAACUACUCAACGUACUAAUAGUACCCAGACCCAGCAUGACUGAUCAAUGAACCAAGCUACCCCAGGGAUAACAGCGCAAUCUCCUUCAAGAGCCCAUAUCGACAAGGGGGUUUACGACCUCGAUGUUGGAUCAGGACAUCCUAAUGGUGCAGCCGCUAUUAAGGGUUCGUUUGUUCAACGAUUAACAGUCCUACGUGAUCUGAGUUCAGACCGGAGCAAUCCAGGUCGGUUUCUAUCUAUGACAAACUUAUCCUAGUACGAAAGGACCGGAUAAGUGAGGCCAAUACCACUAGCACGCCUUCCUAAAAGUAAUGACCUCAACUAAAUUACUACCAAGACACUAACCACUAACCAUUACGCCUUAGAAAAAGGCCG